rnacentral:pre_miRNA from 1 species
UGUAGGCUACUGUAAGAUAUGUUUGAUAUUCUUGGUUGUAGAUUUAAAAACACCCAGGAGUCAAACAUAUUAUUACAGUGGUCUACU